CACACGCACACGCGCACCAACCAGUAGCACCCCGCCCCCUCCACUCCAAGGCGCGUUAUGCAGGUCGCCUGAUUCUUCGUGCCCUAUCGUUGUGUUUCACCACACAUUGAUUGCCCCUCGCACUCUGUUUGUGUGUCACGCACCACCGCUACUGCUGCUGCCACCACCAUCAUCACCUCUUCAGCCCAUCCACCCACCAGCACGCCUCCCCCUUCCCCUUCACCGUUUCCUCACCUGUCCGCGGUUGCCUCCUCGGCGCGCACUGCCGCAGUGAUGCUCACUCUUGUCAUCACUGGCCGCGCAUCGAAGGAGCUGAAGGCGCAGGUGCGCGCAGUGUUGGUCGAUGAAGCGCAACUUUUCAGCGCUUCGGCGGCCUCAGAAGUCGAGAGCGGCAGCGUGUUUGUGCUGUGCAUCGAUGCCGAAGACUCUGCGGUCAUGGAGCCGCUCUACCAGGGGUAUCACUACCGCUUUAUCUGGUCGACACAGAGCUCGAUGGCGGAGCUGGUGUCGGCCGUGCGCCACCUCCUCGACUCGAUCGCCUCUACUCAAGCGCACAAAGACAAGCGCGUUGGCGGCUCCUUCAUCAGCACCCGCGGCGCCUCCGAGGCGUCGAACUUCCUGGACGUUGUCCGCGACGGCUUGGCGAGCGACGGCGGGCUGUACAUUCUCAAGCAGAUUCCCACGAUGCCGGACUCGCAGAUAUACUACUUCUGCAAGCAGCGCAACCUCCCCUACGUGGAGGCGGCGGCGAUGAUUCUGGAGCAGCUCGUGGACGCGAGCAUCACCCCGUCAACGCUGUAUCCGUUGAUUCUCCAGGCCUACGACCCUAGUCGCUGGUCCGACAAGGACGACAUCUGCCCCUUGACGCCGCUUCUGAUAGGCGGGGAGACCACGCCGACCAGGGAAAGCGGAGCUGACGCGGUGGACGGCCUCAUCCCGUCCGUCUCCUUCAACGCACCGGAGCGGUGGGCGGCGAAUAUGUCGGUAAUGGAGCUUUUCCAUGGCCCCACAGCUGCCUUCAAGGACUUCGCCCUCCAGCUCUUUCCGCGCUACUUUGGAACGGCGACUGUCACGCAGGCGAAGGACAAGUACAUCAUCCUCGCCGCCACCUCCGGCGACACCGGCGUUGCGGCGAUCAGCGGUUUCAUCAACGCGGGCGGGCACUCGCAGGUCAUGGUGUUGUACCCCAUGCAUGGCGUCUCGCCGGUGCAGCAGACGCAGAUGCUCUCCUUCGACGAUGGCACGCAGGUGCGGACCUACGCGGUGGACUCGAACUUCGACUUCUGCCAGCGCACCGUGAAGGAGCUGUUCUCCAACGCCGCCCUGCGCGACGAACUCGCGGUGGCAGAGCCGACUGCCGUGCACCUCUCGUCCGCCAACAGCAUCAACUGGGGCCGCCUCAUUCCGCAGGUGGUCUACUACUUCUGGGCGUACCGUCACCACGUACAGCAUCCGCCUGCGGGGUGGGUCUUCGGCGACCCGAUCGACGUGGUCGUGCCGUGCGGCAACUUUGGCAACAUCCUGAGCGGCUACAUCGCCAAGAUCAUGGGGCUGCCCGUGCGAAAGUUGGUUGUCGCCUCAAACCAGAACGACGUGCUCUACGACUUCGUGAAGACCGGCACGUACGACAUGCGCAACCGCACUCUGGCGGUGACGUCGUCGCCGUCCAUCGACAUCUUGAAGGCCUCCAACGUGGAGCGUUUCCUGUACCUCCUGAGCAACGGCGACACGCGUCUAGUGGAGCGGCUGAUGAACGAGCUGGACACGAACGGUGUCUUCACCUUACCAGACGGCGUGCGGGCAGCGAUGCAGGCCGACUUUACCGCUGGCCGCUGUAGCGAGGAGGACUGCGCGGCGACCAUUAAAAGCGUCUUUGAGCUAUCUAGCGGCUCGCGGCUGCUCGACCCACACACCGCCGUCGCCGUCUUCGUUGCUCAGCAGUUCCGCGAGGAGGAGCUCCUGAGCCGCGACCUCACCAACCCGACGUCCUCCGACACUGGCACCGAUGUGCCGCCGCUGGUAAUCGCGAGCACGGCGCACUGGGCAAAGUUCCCGGCGCCGGUGCUGCACUCGCUGCGCGGCGAGGGAGCUCAACUCGGCGAGCCGGCUCCGUCCGUCGCGGCCGCGAUUCAGGAAGUACGCGCCCUCUACGCAGAGAUCAAGAAAGCGGCCCCGAAGCAGCAGGUGCACCCGGCCCUGUCGCACGCGCUGGAUAUGGCGCAGAAGAUGGCGAAGGAGGCGCGCGCUGUCGGCGCCGAUGUGGCGGCGAUCGAGAAGGAGCUGAGGGAUUUCUCGAAGUGCUAAAACGAAACAGCACGAGCCCUGUUUUCUGCUCCUUGGCAGCGGCGGGACGGAGGUGAGAAGAGAGGGCGGAGGAGGCAGCCGCAGCAGCGGCGGCGGCGGUUUCAGCGGUGAACCCGCGUACGCCUACCUGCAUGCGUGCGUCUGUCGAGAGCGAAAGAGAAAACGAUGGCGUGCUUGUCGAUCUGUGGGUGCUUGUGGUCAGAACUGUCUCCACCACCGCUCAUCAGCCACCUCCCUCCACCGAUUCUUUCUCUCAUCCGCCGCUAACGCACGCCCAUCACGGAAGCGGGAGACGUGCGUAGGGGCAUGCGUCGGGGGGGGGGGGGGUUUGGAUUGCUGAUUGGGCUCGAGCAUGCCAACGCGCUUAUUAUCUCUGAAACUGCUCUGUCCCUCUGCGUAUGUGUGUUUGUAUACGCUGGCUCUGUUUCCGCGGCCAAUAUCGUGUUCCUUCUUUGUUCAUCGGAUGUCCCUCAUGACCGGUACACACAAACAUACCCACACACACUGCGUGGCAUCUCGGGACUCGGUGCCCCCACUCUCUCCCCCUGCGGGGAGGCGGAGCGGCACCCCACCCCCUCUAGUCCUGCCCAAUGCGGAGCCGCUUCCGGUCGUGACAGGGUCAAGCGCCGACGCCGUAGGGGAGGUCAGAGCGAUGCAUCGCCACUGACGCCGGCGGCCAGGUCCUGGACGGCGCUGCGUCGGUGCGACCCGCGGCCGUGAACACGCUUGCGCCAUCCAUGUGAUGGGCAGCGUGUCGGCGUGACUCGAGCGUACCCCACACCCGGCCCCCACACUGCCCUGCUGGUGGUGGGGAGCCGGAGCCACCCCGAGGAGGAUGCAGCACGUGGCGACCGGCACGAUGGUAGCUGCUGUGAGGCCACCCGCGGGGCGGGUGGUGGGUGGGGCUUGAGGCAGGGGCUGUGCUCAGAUGACUGUGUCUGCGCACAGCCGUAGCGACGUGCCUGCCGCUGCUUCAGUUCACGCGCCUGAGGUCUGUGCCAGGGCCCGGGCCAGAGGGAGGGUAGAGUGCUGUGUAGCGCGUGCUCUACGGUCAGAGAAUGGUCACGUUGAACAAGGCAGGAAAGCUCGCCUCGUCUCGUUCUCGGAUUCCUUUUCUCUGUCCCUGUGUGGCUGUGGGUGCAUCUGCACCGGCACGCGCGUCGGGAUGGCUUGGAGGCCAGGCAUGGGGCGAGGUUGGCUGGGCAGAGGGGAGGAGAAAGAAGGAUGAGUAAGCGCUCACACAGUGCGCACUGGAAGUCCUCACACGGUCUUUGUUGCCAAAAUGCAGGAAAAUGAAAAACAAACGGGACGCAUCGGCGGCUGGCUGGAUGCGCACGCGCAUGUCUCCCUCGCUGGCCACCACCACCACCAUCCC
rnacentral:misc_RNA from 1 species